rnacentral:rRNA from 1 species
GAGCGGGAGCCCGGAGAUGGGCACUGAGACAAGGGCUCAGGCCCUACGGGGCGCAGCAGUCGCGAAAACUCCGCAAUGCGCGAAAGCGUGACGGGGCUACCCCGAGUACCGUCCGCUGAGGAUGGCUUUUCCCCGGUGUAAUGAGCCGGGGGAAUAAGGAGAGGGCAAGUCUGGUGUCAGCCGCCGCGGUAAUCCCAGCUCUCCGAGUGGUAGGGAUGAUUAUUGGGAUUAAAGAGUCCGUAGCCGGCUUAGCAAGUCUCCUGUUAAAUUCAGCGACCUAAUCGUUGAGCCGCGGGAGACACUACUAGGCUAGGAGGCGGGAGAGGCCGACGGUAUUCUCGGGGUAGGGGUGAAAUCCUAUAAUCCCGGGAGGACCACCAGUGGCGAAGGCUGUCGGGUAGAACGCGCUUGACGGUGAGGGACGACAGCUGGGGGAGCGAACCGGACAAGAUACCCGGGUAGUCCCAAGAGUAAGCGACGCGUGUUCGG